GUCCUGGCCCUAAACGGUGUUCACUUGGUGUGCGGGGAGUCGACCCCCUGCGUGCCGUAGCUAACGCGAUAAGUGAACCGCCUGGGAAGUACGACCGCAAGGUUAAAACUCAAAGAAAUUGACGGGGGCCCGCACAAGCGGUGGAGCAUGUGGCUUAAUUAGAUGCAACGCGAAGAACCUUACCUGGCCUUGACAUGCUGGUAGUAGAAGCCGGAAACGGUGACGACUCCUCGUAAGAGGAGAGCCAGCACAGGUGCUGCAUGGUUGUCGU
rnacentral:rRNA from 1 species